rnacentral:sRNA from 1 species
GGAUGUGAGGAUGAUCUGCUUGUGGCAUCUGUCAUCUUUGCGAUUGCCAGGGUUGAUUUGGCUGAUAGAAUUGGCGAGGCAGCUGUCCCCUUCCUUCCUCACUACUUC